rnacentral:siRNA from 1 species
UAAGAGUUCCAGGAUUAUCA